rnacentral:tRNA from 1 species
AAAGAAUUAGUUAAAAUGUAUAACAUAAAUAUGUCAAAUUUAAAUUAUUGGUCAACUAAUAUUCUUUU